UACGGAGGGUGCAAGCGUUAAUCGGAAUUACUGGGCGUAAAGCGUGCGUAGGCGGUUCGUUAAGUCUGUUGUGAAAGCCCCGGGCUUAACCUGGGAACUGCCUUUGUGACUGCAUGGCUAGAGUGUGUCAGAGGGGGGUAGAAUUCCACGUGUAGCAGUGAAAUGCGUAGAGAUGUGGAGGAAUACCGAUGGCGAAGGCAGCCCCCUGGGAUAACACUGACGCUCAUGCACGAAAGCGUGGGGAGCAAACAGG
rnacentral:rRNA from 1 species